AACGAACGCUGGCGGCAUGCCUAACACAUGCAAGUCGAACGGAACCUUCGGGUUUAGUGGCGGACGGGUGCGUAACGCGGUGGAAAAUGCCCUUAGAUUCGGAAUAACUCCCCGAAAGGGGUGCGAAUACCGGCUAAUGUCUUCGGACCAAAGAUUUAUGGCCUUUGGAUGGGCCCGCGUUGGAUUAGCUAGAUGGUAGGGUAAAAGCCUACCAAGGCGACGAUCCAUAGCUGGUCUGAGAGGAUGAUCAGCCACACUGGGACUGAGACACGGCCCAGACUCCUAAGGGAGGCAGCAGUGGGGAAUACUGGACAAGGGGCGAAGGGCUGAUCCAGCAAUGCUGCGUGAGUGAUGAAGGCCUUAGGGUUGUAAAGCUCUUUUACCCGGGAUGAUAAUGACGGUACCGGGAGAAUAAGCUCCGGCUAACUCCGUG
rnacentral:rRNA from 1 species